GACGAACGCUGGCGGCGUGCUUAACACAUGCCAGUCGAACGGAAAGGCCCUGCUUUUGUGGGGUGCUCGAGUGGCGAACGGGUGAGUAACACGUGAGUAACCUGCCCUUGACUUUGGGAUAACUUCAGGAAACUGGGGCUAAUACCGGAUAGGAGCUCCUGCUGCAUGGUGGGGGUUGGAAAGUUUCGGCGGUUGGGGAUGGACUCGCGGCUUAUCAGCUUGUUGGUGGGGUAGUGGCUUACCAAGGCUUUGACGGGUAGCCGGCCUGAGAGGGUGACCGGACACAUUGGGACUGAGAUACGGCCCAGACUCCUACGGGAGGCAGCAGUGGGGAAUAUUGCACAAUGGGCGGAAGCCUGAUGCAGCAACGCCGCGUGCGGGAUGACGGCCUUCGGGUUGUAAACCGCCUUCGCCUGUGACGAAGCGUGAGUGACGGUAAUGGGUAAAGAAGCACCGGCUAACUACGUG
rnacentral:rRNA from 1 species